CUAUUUACCGUUAGAUGGCGUCGUAAUGAUAUUUUAGAAAAUUUCAUUUUACGACCCGAAAAACUACGACUAUAUGUUUAUAAUUAUAUAUUACAUAAUAAGAAGAGUGAAAUUUAUUAAAGAGAGAAAUCUAUUGCCUAUAAUCCCUAAAUUACUUUGCUUUUCGGAAAUUUAUAGAUCGUCUAAGUACCCCUACUCGUCCCUAGAUGGUUUCACUAGCGCUUGUUUGGCAUAUUACUUUAUUUUCUAUCCUACAUUUUAUCCGUAUUUAUUUAUGCUUAAAAAUAUAUAAUUUGCAAUAUACUUAUUAAUUAUUUUUAAUGCUGAAUGAAAUCGAUCGUGUAAACAUGCCUUUUUGUCAUAGACAAUAUCUUUUCUAAGGUUGAUCUAUGUGCGUGCGCUCGUAUAAUGCAACAAAAUUGAAAAUACGUCCUACGAACCCUAACAACAUGCAUAACGCAGCCUACGCGAUUUAGUCGGCUUGUGGCUAACUUUGUUAAGGUUCCCCAUAGAUGGCAUGACUAACUAGAAUCAAAUUAAUUUAAUAGAAAGCAAAAAAUUUAGUUUUGAGGUCUUAAAUAUAUAUAUUUUAUAUUAAUUUGAAUAAUAAAGACACAUUUAAUCAAUUAGUAAAUUAAAAUAAUUGAUUCAAUCACGUCACGUCACAUCAUAUCAUUCUAGACUGUGUCAAAUCUUACAAAGGAAUUUUGCCCCUGGCAGCUCUAGGCUCUGUCACUUUAUUUACUUCCGUUCUUUUAGAUUCAUAUUAGUAGUUUUUUUAUACAGCAUUCAUUUUCCUUGCCUAAAAUUUGUUAUUAAAUCCCAAAAUUAUUAAUUAAAGUAAAAAAUACCAAAGUUACCUCAACUACCAGUGUCUAAUUCUUUUAACACCUUAAUAAGCAGACAAGUGACAAAUAUCCAACCACCAUAUUGUAAUUCAUCAAGUUGCAUAGAGAAAGUUGACAAAUAAUAAUUACCAUUACCAUGACAGAAGUUUAAACUGAACUGGAAAAGGUUGUCUUCGAGUCGAGUGCGCUUUUUAUGAUUCUCUUAAUAUCCUACCCGUAACAUAUUGCAAUAACUGCACGAGACAAUGAAGUAGAGUUGCAGAUUCAACCACGACCAUGUGUUUAUUACUUUCAUCAAGAAAUUUAUAAAUGUUCAUUGAAUCUAGUGCCGUAAGAUGACCUAUGACCUUAUGUUUAAACUAUCUAGAACCACGGAUGUUUCACUAAUAUGCCAGUGCUACUGACAGUGCGAGUGAAAUAAACUUAAAAUAUGGAAACUGUUCCUACAAGCAAGCAGGCUGACAACUAUUGAAUGUGGUGUGGACAAGUCAUUACUGAAGAAAAAUAAGUUGAAAUUACACUGUGAGACUCCGUUUACUGAUUUUGAUGAAUCUUUCCUGAGCUUUAAGACAAACAGAGUCAACUCUGAUGGCUGCCUAUAUAUACCUAUACCUAGCGAUCUUGUGAUAUUUAUGCGGAGUGGAGCAAACUUCCAUUUGCUGUUUUCAUGGGCUUUUCCGAGUCUCUCGAUAAUCUCCAAUGCUAUUUGGGACAUUGUCCGAGCCACACAGCGAGUCUAUCAUCCACCUGACCUCAAUCUUUCUCCUGCUGACUGCUUCUAUUUAUGAAAGAUUAUGAAGAAGCAGACCACUCCAGACUCCUGUUCAAUGACUUUAUUUCACGACUUUUGCUGCAACAAUGGCUGCUGUCUUCUGACACUUGAAAGCUCCCGUUCAACGGCUCUAGUACAAGAAAACUGCUCCUACAUCAGCAGUGGUCUACAUUGAAUACUACUUAUAGGGAAAAUUUCACUCAAGAUCUUCCUUUAUAUUAGGUAUCAAGGCGCAAGAAGGUGAAUUUAUAAUUGAUUAUUAUGUGAUGACAAUUCUUAGCUGAGGAAUAUGAAAAGAAUCCCUAACAACAGCGAGAAAAGAACGAGUAAAGAAGAUUGAUAAACUUAUUAAUUAGACAAUAACUCUAAGGAUUUUUUUUUUUGUACAUAGUAACAGUUUCAGAAAUAAACGUUAGGUUUCAUGGCUUUUAUUCAAAACACAAUAAA